UAGGCGGACGGGUGAGUAACGCGUGGGUAACCUGCCUCACACAGGGGGAUAACAGUUGGAAACGACCGCUAAUACCGCAUAACCCGCUGGUAUCGCAUGAUACUGACGGAAAAGAUUUUAUCGGUGUGAGAUGGACCCGCGUCUGAUUAGCCAGUUGGCAGGGUAACGGCCUACCAAAGCGACGAUCAGUAGCCGGCCUGAGAGGGUGAACGGCCACAUUGGGACUGAGACACGGCCCAAACUCCUACGGGAGGCAGCAG
rnacentral:rRNA from 1 species